CACUGUUGGGACCGCUCUGCUAAAGAGGAGGAAGGAAUGGGCAACGGUAGGUCAGCAUGCCCCGAAUUAUCUGGGCUACACGCGGGCUACAAUGGGUGGGACAAUGGGUAUCGACACCGAAAGGUGAAGGCAAUCUCCUAAACCCAUCCGUAGUUCGGAUUGUGGGCUGCAACUCGCCCACAUGAAGCUGGAAUCUGUAGUAAUCGUGUCUCAAAAUGGCACGGUGAAUAUGUCCCUGCUCCUU
rnacentral:rRNA from 1 species